AUUACUUUGGUGUUUGGCAGCUCUAUUUCGUUCCCUGACUGUAACCAAAUCUAGAUGUAGGAAUCUGUUGAGCAGGAGAGUGACACAUGUCUUCCCGAAGGCUGUCCAGGCUGCAGUGGUGAUGAAGAAGACACGAUCAUCACCCCGAGAUCGAUUGUAGCGAAUUGGAAAACUCAUGGUGAAUUUGCUUCCACUUCAAGGCAAUGUCGAGGUAUGAAGGGUGCUUGUACUGCCUUCCAAAGUGAAGCGGAGAUGAACAUGGAUUUGCAUAACUGUUGUUCUACGCCAACUUACCUACUCUUGCUGGUACCGUAGUGGUAUAUUGCAAAUUUCGUGGACGAACAACUCUAGUCACUAGUGGCUAGUGAGCAACACUAACAGGAAAAUCCGGCCUUGUAGCUCGCCGCUUGGCAGCAACGCUGAGCUCGAUCAGCGUGCCGUGUGAAUUUGUCCACGCCACCGAGUUUCACCAUGGCGAUCUAGGCAAGGUCAGCAAGGAUAGCAUCGUCAUGUUGCUGUCACACAGCGGGAACACGGCCGAGACGGUCGCUCUGUGCGAUGAACUGAAGCAGCGUGGCGCCAGCGUUGUGGCAUUGACCUCUUUAGGGCGCGCUCACACUGCGACCAUGAGCACGCGUCCAUGCGUCAGCAAAACGCAGAAACGUGGGAGUCGUGCUCACACUAGGCCUCGUACACGCGUAGACGUGAAGUUGUCACACAAACUUUACGAAUUGCAGUUCGUAUCCAAAAGAGUCCGUGCGUUUCCUAAUAAAGUUGUGGCCCGUUUUGGAUGUAAUUUUUCGCAUGUUGCAUGUUGGAGGAAGUGCCUCGUGGCUCGUAUUAUUGAAGUCGACGAAAAUACUUCAUACAAUCAGGUAGGUUUGGACUCUUGAGGGACUGCCGCUGACAUCCAAGCGCUUUCGCUUUCCUGACCUCGUGGUCAGAGCAAGUGCCAGUGCAGUGGAAAUUCCGGUAGUGGUUUCUUUCGUCUGUUGCCGAGAUGAGAAUUGUAUUUUCCGAUGAUAUGUAACUGAAAUGUCUUGAGGUAUGGCAUUCCAUCAUCGCAGAAAAGUAAAGAAAGAUAAUUUCCGAAACCGAAAAGCCAGACCAAGCUGCCAUCGUAUUGAACGAGUACACUGUAGAAAUUGGUCACUGACCCGAUCACAACGAAGCAACUACAAAAACAAAAUCGACAUCGUCCAAAAAGGGUAAAGAAUGCAUAUAUGGCGGUGCGUGCGUGCAGGACCACAACUACAAAAUUUUUAAAAUGUGCAAAUGUCGAGGUGACAUCGACAACCGCCGAUGUUCAUGAAUCAACACACCGGAAUUUGAGAAAUUGAACAUACUUCAGGCCAGGUUGUACACAAAUACGCUUCACGUCUACGAUCAUGUUGCCGCCAAGUCGUGGCACCCCCCUCCGGGGGUCGCGGUCACGAUUUGAAACGUGGCCGCGACGUUUUGGUCAAGUUCAUGCCGUUGCCAUGCAACUUGGCCGCAUGGCCGCAUGGACGCUGGUUUUGGUCGCAGUGUGAGCGCGCCCUAAUCCAGGUUUGUUUGCUUGAUCGUCAAUCGUGCGUUCCAAUGUCAUCCCUGCACAAUGUCAAGACGGGUGUGCGUGGCAGUAAUCCCUGUUGGUAUAAUUGUGUAACUGGAAUAUUCAAAACUUCGGCGGCUAUUCAAUUUCGGCUUUAUACGGCACCGACCCAAACCGCCGAAAUUAAAACGCUGAUGAAAUUUUCACUUCAGCUUUGGUGAUGUACACUGUACUAGUAUUGUAAUCCCGUGCCGAAAAUACAUCGCUGCUGAAAAUGUCGAAAAUCGUGAAAUGCCGAAAUGUUGCAGCGACAGAAUUUUGUAUAUUUAUGGUCUGUGAUUGUCUGUGUGGUUUAGCCAGGCAAAGACGGGUAAGACGGGUAUGUUCUUGGUGGUGUCUUCAUCAUGCACAAUGCAUUAUACGCUUUCCACUAGCGUUUCGGGAAUCUGUGUUUUUUUUAAUUCUUUAUUCUCACGAUGGCACCAUCGCCAAUAAGAGAUUAUUGCGGGCAUCAUUGCCACAGACAAGGUCUUUUCUGAAGUAGUUACUGCUAUUCUUUUUGCUGCACUGACUUUCAGAUUCCCGUCUGGCCCAGCUCGUCGAGCCGUGCAACGUGGUGGCGUACGGACCAUGCAGCCUGACCGAACCCGCCGGCGGCGUUCCAACAGCCAGUCUAGUUGCUCAGGAGUCACUCGUCAACUGCAUCACCAAUGACAUCAUCACCAAGACCAAAUUCGACGCUGGUCGUUUCCGUGGCAACCACCCUGGCGGCGCACUGGGCGCAUCUCUGCCAAAGUCCUGAGCGGCUUUGUCGUGGCGGCAAGCAUCCGUUUUCCUACGACGCGCUAUACCAAGCGACGGAAUCGAGUUUUAUCAUUGCAUGCGUGUGAGUGUAUGCCUGGAACUGCAGGUCCAGUUUCCAGGUGUUUACCGUUGUUCUCAUUGUCCUGUUUCCGUACUUUAUGCAGGGACGGUUUAAAAGCCUGAUCACCUGCUCUAGUGUUACCUUCUAUUCUAAACAUUA